rnacentral:snRNA from 1 species
GUGCUUGCUUUGGCAUCACACAUACUAAAAUUGGAGCAAUACAGAGAAGAUUAGCAUGUUCACGUGCAAGGAUAACAUGAAAAUUUGUGAAGCAUCCUAUAUAUAU